rnacentral:rRNA from 1 species
GACGGAGGGGGCUAGCGUUGUUCGGAUUUACUGGGCGUAAAGAGCGCGUAGGCGGCUCGUUAAGUGAGAAGUGAAAGCUGUGGGCUCAACCCACAAACCGCUUUUCAUACUGGCGAGCUGGAGUGAUGCAGAGGUGGAUAGAAUUCCCGGUGUAGCGGUGAAAUGCGUUGAUAUCGGGAGGAAUACCCGUGGCGAAGGCGGUCCACUGGGCAUCAACUGACGCUGAGGCGCGAAAGCGUGGGUAGCAAACAGG